rnacentral:rRNA from 1 species
AUCCUGGCUCAGGAUGAACGCUAGCGGCAGGGCUUAAUACAUGCAAGUCGUGGGGCAAGCAUGAGUAGCAAUACUUGAUGGCGACCGGCAAACGGGUGAGGAACACGUACACAACCUUCCUUCAAGCGGGGAAUAGCCCAGAGAAAUUUGGAUUAAUACCCCAUAAUAUAUUUGAUAAGGCAUCUUAUUAAUAUUAAAGCUUCGGCACUUGAUGAUGGGUGUGCGGCUGAUUAGAUAGUUGGCGGGGUAACGGCCCACCAAGUCUACGAUCAGUAGCUGAUGUGAGAGCAUGAUCAGCCACACGGGCACUGAGACACGGGCCCGACUCCUACGGGAGGCAGCAGUAAGGAAUAUUGGACAAUGGACGAAAGUCUGAUCCAGCCAUGCCGCGUGAAGGAUUAAGGUCCUCUGGAUUGUAAACUUCUUUUAUAUGGGACGAAAAAAGGGCAUUCUUGUUCACUUGACGGUACCAUAUGAAUAAGCACCGGCUAACUCCGUG